UACGUAGGGGGCUAGCGUUGUCCGGAAUCAUUGGGCGUAAAGCGCGUGUAGGCGGCUCGAUAAGUCUGCUGUGAAAGUCCAGGGCUCAACCCUGGGAUGCCGGUGGAUACUGUCGAGCUCGAGUCCGGAAGAGGCGAGUGGAAUUCCUGGUGUAGCGGUGAAAUGCGCAGAUAUCAGGAGGAACACCAAUGGCGAAGGCAGCUCGCUGGGACGGUACUGACGCUGAGACGCGAAAGCGUGGGGAGCAAACAGG
rnacentral:rRNA from 1 species